UACGAAGGGGGCUAGCGUUGCUCGGAUUUACUGGGCGUAAAGGGCGCGUAGGCGGUCGUGACAAGUCACUUGUGAAAUCUCCGGGCUUAACUCCGGAACUGCCUUUAAGACUGCAUCGCUAGAAUCGUGGAGAGGUGAGUGGAAUUCCGAGUGUAGAGGUGAAAUUCGUAGAUAUUCGGAAGAACACCAGUGGCGAAGGCGACUCACUGGACACGUAUUGACGCUGAGGUGCGAAAGCGUGGGGAGCAAACAGG
rnacentral:rRNA from 1 species